rnacentral:lncRNA from 1 species
CUGUCAAUCAGUCGUGACCCGGCCCCCCACCGCUCUGAUUGGCUAACCGCCACAUGCGCAGCCCUCUCUGUACCACGUGCAGUACCGAUUUUUGGCCACAUGGUGGCAGCACCGAUCUGCUGCCGGCGCCUCAUCGCCGCUCUCCCACGUGCCGUGCCGCGAUUUGGACGUAGGAGAGCACGGAAAAGCGGCGGCCAGGCUUUUCUGUUUCCUGUGGGAGUAACAGAAGAAGAUAUGGUCUGACAAGUAUAUAUGUCAAAGCAUUGCUGUAGAUCUUUAGAUACAGACUGUGGACUAUCUGCUAACAUUUGGGUCUGUGAAAAGAGUACAACUCAUGGCUGAUUAGACUGAGCUGCAAAUGUGGAAUGAUCACUGUGAAGAGAGGACUUUGGAACACUGAUUUGCAUAUCCUGUGGCUGUAGUAGCUCAUUCUGUGGUCAAAAGACACUCAGUAAAGAAAGAAGCACAGAAGGAUCUGAAGACCAAGAAGAAGUGGAUGACUUCUGGAAAGAAAAACAGUUGCUGUCAAGAACUUCAGUAUCCAGAGGCUUCAAGUGACACUGGUGAUUCUGUCUUUGUAGAAUCUGACUACCAAAAAGGGGGAGUGAAAGACCUGAAAGAGAGUCAGAAGCGCAUAAAACUCCCACCUCCACAAAAUCUGAGAGAGCCAAUCUCCAGAGGCAGUCCAGACUUGCUUGUUAGAAGGAGAGAAAGAAGCUGUGAAAAAAGUACAGAAAACAAAGUGCCAACUGUGGCAUUACAACAAAGUACAGAGGUAGAAUCAGAUAGCUCGGAUGGUGAAUUUGAAUCGUUAAUAGAACGGAUAAGGAAACGAAGUAUACCUCAAAAACCUACGUUAAGCACAAAUAAAACUGUCCGCCAGCCAAGCACAAGAGGGAUUUUAAAUGGAGGACGUAAACCAGCAACCUCCCCACACACAGUGGGCUGUUCAUUGCAGUGA